UACGGAGGGGGCUAGCGUUGUUCGGAAUUAUUGGGCGUAAAGAGCUCGUAGGCGGUUUGUUACGUCGGCUGUGAAAUCCCGAGGCUCAACCUCGGGUCUGCAGUCGAUACGAGCAAACUAGAGUGUUGCAGGGGAGACUGGAAUUCCUGGUGUAGCGGUGGAAUGCGCAGAUAUCAGGAGGAACACCAAUGGCGAAGGCAGGUCUCUGGGCCGAAACUGACGCUGAGGAGCGAAAGCGUGGGGAGCGAACAGG
rnacentral:rRNA from 1 species